ACCACUUUUAUAAAAAAAAAAAAAGUAUCUGUUCUUAUCAGCUUAAUAUCUGAUACGAUCCCCAUUGGGGAUCUACGAUAUUAAACUGAUUUUUGAACUUGGGGGAAGAUGCAGGACGACGGCGCAGCAAUGGCACCAGUGGCGCCUGCAAGUGUC
rnacentral:snRNA from 1 species